UACGGAGGGUGCGAGCGUUGUCCGGAAUCAUUGGGCGUAAGCGCACGUAGGCGGUCCGUUAAGUCUCUUGGUGAAAGGCUGGGGCUCAACCCUAUGCAUGCCGGGGAUACUGGGGGACUGGAGACAGGUAGAGGCGAGCGGAAUUCCGGGUGUAGCGGUGGAAUGCGUAGAUAUCUGGAGGAACACCGGUGGCGAAGGCGGCAUCCUGGACCGGCAUUGACGCUGAGGAGCGAAAGCCAGGGGAGCAAAGC
rnacentral:rRNA from 1 species